AGAGAGAGACAUGCGCGCAUAUCAAUAAGCGGAGGAAAAGAAACUAACAAGGAUUCCCUUAGUAACGGCGAGUGAAGCGGGAAGAGCUCAAAUUUGAAAUCUUCAAGGUUUUACCUUGACGAAUUGUAGUUUAAAGAAGUGUUUUCUGCUGAAGUUUUGGUAAAAGUUCUUUGGAAUAGGACAUCAUAGAGGGUGAGAAUCCCGUAUUUGACCAUUAUUUUCAGCUUUGUGAUACACUUUCAAAGAGUCGGAUUGUUUGGGAAUGCAGUCCAAAAUGGGUGGUAAAUUUCAUCUAAAGCUAAAUAUUGGCGAGAGACCGAUAGCGAACAAGUACCGUGAGGGAAAGAUGAAAAGAACUUUGAAAAGAGAGUUAAACAGUACGUGAAAUUGUCAAAAGGGAAGCGUUUGACACCAGUGUUGUUUUCUCGAAAAUCAAUUAAAAAUGGCUCGAUUUUGUAUUGUUGAGACCUUAAAAGCUCACUGUACAUUUUUCGUGUCUUUUUUAAUGCACUUUUCGUUUAACAAGUCAACAUCAGUUUCUUUUGUUGUAAAAGGGUCAUUGGAAGGUGGCUUUCUUUUCGGAGGAAGUGUUUAUAGCCUUUGGCCUCUACAAUCGGAGAGAUCGAGGUCUGCAGCGUAGACUCCUUCGGGGUUAGAUACAUUUGUGCUAGGUUAUAGCCUUUUCAUAGACAACUUGUUGACUAUGAAUCAGUCAUGUAGCUUACUCGCUUAUGCUAUUUUACCUACGCUUAGGAUGUUGAGUCGUAGAGCACGCAG
rnacentral:rRNA from 1 species